AACGAACGCUGGCGGCGUGCCUAACACAUGCAAGUCGUGCGAGAAAGUUCCUUCGGGAGCGAGUAAAGCGGCGCACGGGUGAGUAACACGUAGGUAACCUGCCCCCCAGUCUGGAACAACUAGAGGAAACUCUAGCUAAUGCCGGAUGAGACCACGAUCCCUUCGGGGGUUGCGGCCAAAGAUGGCCUCUACUUGUAAGCUAUCGCUGAGGGAUGGGCCUGCGGGCCAUUAGCUUGUUGGUGAGGUAACGGCUCACCAAGGCUGUGAUGGCUAGCUGGUCUGAGAGGAUGACCAGCCACACUGGGACUGAGACACGGCCCAGACUCCUACGGGAGGCAGCAGUGGGGAAUAUUGCGCAAUGGGCGAAAGCCUGACGCAGCAACGCCGCGUGGGUGAUGAAGGCCU
rnacentral:rRNA from 1 species